ACCACUGGAAAUGGGAGUGAAGAGAUGAAGCAUGUAACAUGCUGAAUUUCAAUUUAGGAAGACUAUUUACUAAUCAGGAGUAUAUUGGUAAUUAGUGGAUUUAUCAGGGUUUAGAUGUUAAAUUGAUGUUUUGUGUUGUAUUGAUAGUAUUGAAGGGUAGAAUGGCAAUCCAAGACAUAAUGUAUGAGCACAAGUGAGAUUGACCUCACUGUGCCACACAUCGCGGCGCAUUGCGUGGAAAUUGCUUAAAGCUGACAUGAUCAGCUUGUGAAAACAGAAGUGAGAAGUGUGGAAAAUGUGUUUGGAGAGGAGGAAGUGUUUUGCUCUGCUAGGGCAAGUAAUAUCUGGAGCUUGGGAGCUUGAUUUGAUUGAUGACUUGUUGGAUGAAGAGAGCAUGAGAAGGCUGGGAAAGGAAGCAAGAAAGAGUAGCUUCAUUUGAUAGUGGUAUGACUACUAUAUGUAUUAAUGAAUGUAUAAAGUUGUAUAUAAAGUUUUAGUUUCUAAUUAGGAUGCAUAAAUAACUGCGUAUUGAAUUGUGUUGUGAAACUUGCUUAUAUAUAUAUAUGAUGUUGCAUCUCCCCGAAGGUGCCCUAGUGGAGGUACGUGGGUAGGCUUAGAUGCUAAACAAGCAAAUAUAUGUCAUUAUGUAACUUGUUCCACUUGUAUGUAUAUGUUGAAUGUGAAUUGAUUGUGGAUUGUGAAUAUA